GCGACUGUAGCUCAGCUGGUAGAGCACUCGGUUGUGGUCCGGGUUGUCGCGGGUUCGAGCCCCGUCAGUCGCCCCA
rnacentral:tRNA from 2 species